CCUACGGUGUGCUGCAGUGAGGAAUAUUGGUCAAUGGACGAGAGUCUGAACCAGCCAUGCAGCGUGAAGGAUGACUGCCCUAUGGGUUGUAAACUUCUUUUAUAUGAGGAUAAACCAGAGUAUGCGUACUCACUUGUAUGUACUGUAUGAAUAAGGAUCGGCUAACUCCGUGCCAGCAGCCGCGGUAAUACGGAGGAUCCGAGCGUUAUCCGGAUUUAUUGGGUUUAAAGGGAGCGUAGUCGGAUUGAUAAGUUAGUUGUGAAAGGUUGCGGCUCAACCGUAGAACUGCAGCUGAGACUGGUGGUCUUGAGAAUAGAUGAGGUAGGCGGAAUGCAUGGUGUAGCGGUGAAAUGCUUAGAUAUCACGCAGAACUCCGAUUGCGAAGGCAGCUUACUGGACUACAACUGACGUUGAGGCUCGAAAGUGUGGGUAUCAAACAGGAUUAGAUACCCGAGUAGUC
rnacentral:rRNA from 1 species